rnacentral:rRNA from 1 species
ACGAACGCUGGCGGCGUGCUUACACAUGCAAGUCGAACGGAAAGGCCCUGCUUUUGUGGGGUGCUCGAGUGGCGAACGGGUGAGUAACACGUGAGUAACCUGCCCUUGACUUUGGGAUAACUUCAGGAAACUGGGGCUAAUACCGGAUAGGAGCUCCUGCUGCAUGGUGGGGGUUGGAAAGUUUCGGCGGUUGGGGAUGGACUCGCGGCUUAUCAGCUUGUUGGUGGGGUAGUGGCUUACCAAGGCUUUGACGGGUAGCCGGCCUGAGAGGGUGACCGGCCACAUUGGGACUGAGAUACGGCCCAGACUCCUACGGGAGGCAGCAGUGGGGAAUAUUGCACAAUGGGCGGAAGCCUGAUGCAGCAACGCCGCGUGCGGGAUGACGGCCUUCGGGUUGUAAACCGCUUUCGCCUGUGACGAAGCGUGAGUGACGGUAAUGGGUAAAGAAGCACCGGCUAACUACGUG